AGGGAGUGGAGCUGGGAACUACUACCAGCAGGCAGGCCCAGGAUCCCGAGUGUGUCCUGAGAGUCAGUGCCUGGUACUGGAUAGGAACUUCAUGGAAUGGAGCUAAUGGGCCGUAGGGCAGGUUUGAGUCGUGCCACCCUGGAGCAGAAGGUGGAGGGUAGGGAUAAGGGGGUGGAGCACCUGAUUCCAAUCUUGCCGCACGGAAGAAGAGUCUGUGAAGAAGUGCGUGAUGACUGUGUGUCCCCCCCACCCAGAAAUUGGCAUUUGGGAGGGGUGGAUAUGGUUGGGACUGGGGAGCCUUGAUCUUACUGCUCUUGGUUGAGUUGGUGUCCAAUAGACAGUUUCAGAGGUUAGAGCAGUGGGAGUCACUGGGGACUGGGGACGGGAGAGGUGGGGGUGGGGGAAGCCAGGCGGGAAUGAGUAGGGAGGCACUGGGAGGAGGGGAGAGGCAAGAGUUAGGGGAAUACCGAGGAAAGUGGCAGGGAUUGGAGGCUCCUGGAGAAAGGGCAAGGCUGAAGGUUGUCCCAUGUAUUUUGGCCAGAUUUGAUUAUGUAAUCGAGAUACAUGAGAUAAUUGUGUUCGUGUCUCUGGAGCCUUCAACCAGCUCUUUUAACAUCUUGC
rnacentral:lncRNA from 1 species